rnacentral:lncRNA from 1 species
AAAAAAAAAUGAAACACCAAAAUGGAAUCCAUAAAAUGCCAAAAUGGCAAAGUCAUUACAAAACAUUGGAAAUACCAAAGUCAAAAUACAAGUUAAAUGGAAAAUUUAGACUUGAAAUAUUCAAGCUUGGUCUUCGAAAAGUUGAGCCUUAUGGUCAGACGGUCAUGGGCUUCUUUUAAAGAAUUGAGUUCAAGUCCUAGGACAAAAGCAUCUCCAACAUGUUCGACACUCUUGGUGGUUUCUUAAUGGAUGAUUUCUCG